UGGAACCAUGGUCACACCUCUUCAAGCAUGCAUUGAUGCUGUGUUGAGGUGAGGAGAAGCCACGAAGCCUUAUGCACCGCCUCACCCACUUCCUUUUCUUCUAUCUCUUGUUAAUAGUGCUUCUCAUUUUCUUUGAACCAAAACACGCACAAAGAAGGAGAAGAACAGAGAAGGGAAGCAAAACGAAACUGAAGAGGAAGGAAGAAGCCAUCCACAGCAAGAAGGAAGGCACCCCACCUCUCAUCACUCUGAAUCUUCGAAGCUUCUUUGUUGGGUGAGAACUAGCAACUCUCCUUCUUCCUCUUCUUCAGAUUCAAAUUCUGUUCUUCCCUUUUAUUCCACCUCUGCCAUUCUAAUUCCAAUUCUUGCUAGAACAGUAGUGACCGUAGGCAAGAACUCUUCCCUUGCUUGAGAUGAGGUCGGCCAUUUGUUCUUGAAAGAGAGGCCAAAGCUUCAAUUCCAUACGCUUAGGGUUCUGAUUUCCGAAGGAAGUAAAAAUAGAAUUUCCAACUUUAAAAGAGACGGGUCCGGUAGAGGAGCCCUGUGAGUUUCGUUCUAACUGCUGAGCUAUGAAGAUCUGGCGCGCGGCGGAGUCUUCAUAUGGAGCAUGUUUUGGACCGAUCACUCCAGAGUUAGUCGCAGUGGAUCUUUCGCUCCUGCUUGAUGAUCUUAGUAUCACUUUCUCCUCACUUUUGUAGUACUUUUAGAGGGGUAGGACGUCUUAGUAGUUCGGUUCCAGCUUAGGAAACCCGUGUGAGGGUUGGAACUGAUUCCUUCUUUUGUAUCUGUACAUAUAACUUGGUGUGAUACUCGGCUUUGAUGGA